UGAGCCCCACCAAGGUUCGGCUGAUGAGGGCAGAGGGCGGGUGCUCGGUGGCGGAACUACACGUCGGUGCAACACCCACAAGCCCCCGGACGCGGAGGACUGGGGGCGGCCAUGAUGCCCCGCCUUCUCCCCGCCCCCUGGCUCGCGAUGCCUCCGCUCAUUGGCCCCUAAGAGUCCGUGACCCGGAUGUUCAUGCGGACGCCGGGAAGGCCUGUGACCCAAAGAUGUCGCAAGCGCCGAGCGUUCAAUGGUGCCCGCGAAGCUCCUGUCUCGUGGUGGGCUGGCCUGCGUGAGAGUCCGCUGGAAGCUGGCCCCGGCGUUGCCCCUGGGAGAGACCGGACCAGGUGGUGGGUGCGCCGGGGCUUCACCCACGUCUCUCCCUUAACCCUCCCGGCACCUCGUCCGGUAAGCUUCCUCUAAAAGAUAAGUCAUGAGGUUGACCUGCAGGAUGCAAGGAGAGCCCUGACACAAGUAUUUGAGAGCCUGUUGUGUACAGGGUGACAGAGGACACCUCAGGAGCACAGGUUUACCCUCGAACACACCAUCCCUGGCAGUCGCUGUGUACGUGAGCAUUAAAGGCUCUGAGAAAUCCU